GCGUGGGUGAAGAAGGCUUUCGAGUCGUAAAGCCCUGUCAGGUGGGAAGAAUAAAGCUCGGGUAACGCCGAGCCUUGACCACCACCAAAGGAAGCACCGGCUAACUCCGUGCCAGCAGCCGCGGUAAUACGGAGGGUGCAAGCGUUGUCCGGAAUCACUGGGCGUAAAGGGCGCGUAGGCGGCCUGGCAAGUCUGGUGUGAAAGCCCUCGGCUCAACCGAGGAAGUGCACUGGAUACUGCUGGGCUUGAGUGCGGGAGAGGGAAGCGGAAUUCCCAGUGUAGCGGUGAAAUGCGU
rnacentral:rRNA from 1 species